GUGCUCGCUUCGGCAGCACGUAUGCUAAAAUUGGAACAAGGCAAAGAAAAUUAGCAUGGCCCCUGCACAAGGAUGACACGCAAAUUCAUGAAGUGUUCCAUAUAUUU